UCAGUAGCCGAUGCUCCUGCACUAAAGCGUCUCCUAAGCAAAGAGGUUGAGACGGACCACGGAGUGAAAACAAUGAAAAGUACGCUCUUAGAGUCUGUCAGCACACGUUUCAGUGAGAUCUAUUCAGAUCCUCUGCACUUCAUCGCGACUGUACUUGAUCCGCGUUAUAAAGACCAUUACUUGGAUGC